UCGGAAUGUACCGCCUGUUCACAUUGAGGAAGCACAGAUAAGACACCAACUGACUUUAAAGCAUAAGAAAAGAAAAUAGAGUUUUGUUGAAGGCUGUCGGAUUUCUGCUGCAAAAUUGACAAAUGGUUGGCGUUUUCUUGACAAUAAUGACAGAGUACAUCGUCAAUAUGGUAUUUUAAAAUACAUGUAGGUGCAGUUUGGCUUAACCAGGACUGAACCAUUUAACAGGGGGACCAAAUACAAUUUACACUUUUCCGUCACAGCCUUAAGAGAAACAAGGAAAGAAGCUGUUUUGCUGUGGAAGACGCUACAAAGAUCGGGGACAUGGCAUGUGAUGAGGAACCCGAGAUCAGCGUCCAAAAGAUUGAUCAGAACUCUGCAGGAGUGCCAGACCAGCAUAGUGGAGGAUGGAGACACCAUGGUCAUAGAUGGCCUCAGGUUUGAGAGUGCGACAAGCAGGGAGGACCUGAGAAAGCUGAGCUCACAGGCUGGCGCAGGACGAUAACAGGGUGGCACAUGACUGAUGCUAGUGAGUUCCUUGAGGUCAUCAAGGUCCCGUGACCGACAGUGGUAAGACAAGAAGCUAGCAAAUAACACAAUGAUAGGAAUAAAGCUACAAACUGUCACGUGUAUGCCCUUGCAACAGAAAACAGAGCAGCGUGGCAUGUUCUAGAGAUUAUAUUGACCUUUUUUUGGGAUAAGUGUUCAUUUGUUUCCAAAUAUUUCUAUAAGGUUCAAGUUACUGUUUCAUUGUUGAUUGUUUUGAAAUGUUUUAUCACUGAGAACAUAGUUUGAUAGUUCUGAAAACCAUAUUUGGCAGGACAUUUAUGUUGCCCAUUUCAGAAUAUGAGCAUUGGCUUUGAGUGUUGUAUUUCUCAUUCUUCUUUAUUCAGGUGGAAAUAUAGUAAAUUAAAGUUAAUAUAUAUCUUGUUUAGGCUAAUGGUGGUGUCUUUGCAUAAUAUGCUUAAUUUCUGUUAGUCUUGUCCAACCCAAAAUAACAUAUUUUGCAGUGGCAGCAGUGCACUAUGAAUAGUAUUUGUCUGUUUUAUUCCACUGACUUGCCUUUAACUAUGGUGUUGGUCAUGCACAGUUUGAAUGUCCUUCUAUAUAAAACAGCAUACUGUGCAGGGCAGUUGAGGACAUGGCUUUCUCUUUGAUUACAUGAAGCUUUUAGAAUAUUUUGUGUCCUCUCUGUUUAUACCCUAGUGUAGAUCAUCUUGCUCCCUAAAAGCAUCCUCAGAGCUCUGAUUACAGCAAACUUUCACAGGCUGAUAUGCUUUCUAGUGCAGUUGGCAUGAAGAAGAAAAAUAUGAUGAGUAAGUAUGGCAGUACUAUCCUUGGGUACUUAAAAGUUUCUGAAUGCAGUUGAAUAACCAGAAGUCAAGACUUUUAGUGUUCAUAAAUAUAGUUUCACUGCAUUGGAGAGUAAUUUUGACAGUACAAUCUUAGUCUUAAUAUAGGUUUGCAUGAUGGUAUCAUGUGCUUUUAUUUUGCAUGAAGUAUUUUAUGUUUUCACUUGCCAGGACACGAUAAUAAUAAGUUAAUUUCACCACAGGAGAGACCUGAUAGUCUCUGCAUCCUGGUGGAAAAAAAAAAUUUGUAUAUAUCGGCAUGGGCAAUUGACCAGAAUGAGCUGGAAAAUAUCAGCAUAACAGAUAGAGCCAAAAAUGCAAUAAUAUGCAUCCUUGAAUCUUCAAUAGGUAGCAGUUUCUUCUUGGCGUUUUUACUAUGUCUUUACUUCACGGCUGAUUUUAAUGGUGAAACUGGUCUUAAGGACAUUUCACAUAAUUUAAAAUAAAUUUAUAAUGUUCUGCUGCCACUUUUCAUUGGAUAUACUGUGACUAUAUUAGCGGUAAAAGCUAAAAGCCAGUAAAAGUAAUUGUGAAAAACUAGUGCUGUUUAAAGAAACAAAUGAAGUUACAGCAAACAGUCCAUAUAUAUGCUUUGACAUUAUUGCAUCAAGAAAAGCAAACAGCAGUGUCAGUCGGAACACUGUGCUUCAGCCAUUUAUUAUCUAUAAAAUCCCCUAAAAUGUGUCGGGAUAUUUCUGUGUUGUAGCAGCCUGUUUGCAUGAGUAGCACCAUUUGUUUAAGUGAAAUGAAACAUUGAAAUCCUCCAUUUUGUAAAUAUAUUGUAAAAUAACAGUUAAUUAAAGAUUAAAAGUUAAAGAGAUACAGAAAUGAAUCAGACCUGCCUUGCAAAGUGGAAAGUACCAUUGACUGUUUAGUUCUGAAAUGAACAAACGAGACCAGCCAGGAGAUUAACAAGUGUCAGGGCAUCAGUGUAACCAAUUAACAAACUCCCAAUUAGAAUGUCAGAUGAACAAUUAAACCCAGAAGUUUACCAAGCAUUAACAUACUAAACAGACUCACAUAAUAUAUGCAAAUAAGGUCAUUAUUAUGCAUGUGCUAGUUCAGUGCCCAAAUUAAGUGCUUGUUUGGAGCACUCGGGAUAUGUUUGCAAGCGUGAGCUCAGUGACAACAUAUUACAGAAAUAAUGGUCACUUGAAAAAUCUAAUUAGUUUUACAUUUGGCUGUAAGCUAUAGAAGUCUGCAAGGCAAAGACAACUUGAAUCAAAAUUAACAACCAUUCAAAGCUAUGGAAAGAAAUUCCCUUAUAUUUAUGGGAAUAGAGAAAAGAAUUUAAUAAUUACUUGUUUGGACGUAUAAUAUGAUGACACAGUCACAGUGGGAAUGCAAACACAUGCAUCCUGUAAUCAGACAGAGUGGCAGAAAAAGGUAGAAAAGCAUCCAGCAGAUGCUGAAUUGGUGAUUACUGAAGUUGCAGCUUGACUCUUGAUUGUCAUGUUUUUGUGUUGCAUGAAUUAUUUAUGUCUUAGCCCAUGUAAUUAGAUGCUGGAAGGGAAAAGACUGGACCAGGAAAACUCGAGAAUCAAUCAGCUGCUUCCUUAAUCAUUUUUGACAACUUAAGGAGCGUAAACCUCUUCAAACUGAUAUGGCUUCAGUGUCUACCUCUUUACAAAAUCUUGUAACAGAUUGAAGCUGCUGUAUUGCGUAUGGUCUUUUUGUUUAUGAUUGCAGUUGUGGUUUG